CUGGAAGGGAGACAGCCAGGAAAACAAACAGUCAGGAUGGACGUGUGUGCAACAUAGAUGACCGUACUGCUGGAGGGGCUGGGGUGAACCCUGCCCUGGGGCCAAGGGAAGGCUUCACAGAAGAGAAGACAUCCAAGCAGGUUCCUAAAAGAUCCGCCAGGCAGCCCUGAACCAGUGAGUUCUUUCCAAGGGGAUUCAUUGUGUCUGCUCAGACCCGCCAGGUCUGACCAGGGACCCCUGAACCUGCCUGCUAGAGGCCAGGUGAGCCUUGGCAUCACGGGCCCCCACUUGAGCACAGGAAGUGAACGACGUGGUUCCUCAUGGACACCCACAGCCCUUAGGGUGGCCCUUCCCUCCUGCCCUGAUCCAGCCAUACCUGCCGGACUAGCCACUCGGAUUUGCGGACACUCAGCAAGCUCCGUCUAGCUCACGGUGAAGGUUCAGGGAAGCAAUUAAGUUUUGCUCAAGUUGUGGAUCAGCGGACAGCAUGUUCCUCGCCCUCUGCCCCUCCAGAGCAGAUGGGGAGGGGGGCGACAGUCACGGGGGCCAAGGCCUGGCCGGCGCCUCCCUCCCCGCCCCUCCCGCCGGCCCCCUGCCUCUGUGAGACCUGGGCUUUUGAAAUUGAAGAGAACACAUCAGUUUGCUCGGAAGGCCAAUCCCUUACUCAGAACUGCCCUGGGUUAUCACACUUGAAGACCUUCAGAGGCCCCAGCCACCAAAAUUUCCCUCCACCAGUUCCUGCGUAGCUGACAGCACUGAGAAGCCAGUUUCCACGUUUACCUCCAACGGCAAGGUCUCAUCCGUGAAGGGCUCGGGGCGGGGGGAGCAGAGCCUGACCGCUUGGGAGCUGGAGAGUGGGGAUGACGUGCCCACCCUCGUUCACCUUGGCUUGCUUACCCACACACUGAGCAGGUGGUAUUUACCUUCGUGGGGCCGCUACGGAGACUGGACAGCAAGAUAACAUGGGCCAGAGAGCACGUCGGAUCUGCCCACCGGCUCCGUCGGGCGGCCUCGCCCAACCCUCCUCAGGACUCCAUUUGUGCUGUGCCCCAUGCCCUUCUGUCUCAUCCCCAUGCCUCAACCCCGCCCACGCUGCGUAACAAAAAUAUUUUCCAUUCGCGUA